rnacentral:rRNA from 1 species
UACGGAGGGUGCGAGCGUUGUUCGGAGUCACUGGGCGUAAAGGGCGUGUAGGCGGUCCGCUAAGUCUGAUGUGAAAGCCCGGGGCUCACCCCCGGAAGUGCAUUGGAAACUGGCGGACUCGAGUCCCGGAGAGGAGAGUGGAAUUCCUGGUGUAGCGGUGAAAUGCGUAGAUAUCAGGAGGAACACCGGUGGCGAAGGCGGCUCUCUGGACGGUGACUGACGCUGAGACGCGAAAGCGUGGGGAGCAAACAGG